GACGAACGCUGGCGGCGUGCCUAAUACAUGCAAGUAGAACGCUGAAGGAGUAGCUUGCUUCUCUGGAUGAGUUGCGAACGGGUGAGUAACGCGUAGGUAACCUGCCUGGUAGCGGGGGAUAACUAUUGGAAACGAUAGCUAAUACCGCAUAAUAGUAGAUGUCGCAUGACAUUUGCUUAAAAGGUGCAAUUGCAUCACUACCAGAUGGACCUGCGUUGUAUUAUCUAGUUGGUGAGGUAACGGCUCAACAAGGCAACGAUACAUAGCCGACCUGAGAGGGGGGUCGGCCAACCGGGGACCGGGACCCGGCCCAGACUCCUACGGGAGGCAGCAGGAGGGGAUCUUCGGCAAUGGACGGAAGUCUGACCGAGCAACGCCGCGUGAGUGAAGAAGGUUUUCGGAUCGUAAAGCUCUGUUGUAAGAGAAGAACGAGUGUGAGAGUGGAAAGUUCACACUGUGACGGUAUCUUAACAGAAAGGGACGGCUAACUACGUG
rnacentral:rRNA from 1 species